rnacentral:rRNA from 1 species
AGUUUGAUCAUGGCUCGAGGACGACGCUGGCGGCGUGCUUAACACAUGCAAGUCGAACGGAAAGGCCCUGCUUUUGUGGGGUGCUCGAGUGGCGAACGGGUGAGUAACACGUGAGUAACCUGCCCUUGACUUUGGGAUAACUUCAGGAAACUGGGGCUAAUACCGGAUAGGAGCUCCUGCUGCAUGGUGGGGGUUGGAAAGUUUCGGCGGUUGGGGAUGGACUCGCGGCUUAUCAGCUUGUUGGUGGGGUAGUGGCUUACCAAGGCUUUGACGGGUAGCCGGCCUGAGAGGGUGACCGGCCACAUUGGGACUGAGAUACGGCCCAGACUCCUACGGGAGGCAGCAGUGGGGAAUAUUGCACAAUGGGCGGAAGCCUGAUGCAGCAACGCCGCGUGCGGGAUGACGGCCUUCGGGUUGUAAACCGCUUUCGCCUGUGACGAAGCGUGAGUGACGGUAAUGGGUAAAGAAGCACCGGCUAACUACGUG